ACUUUGGAAAAAUGCAAGGCAGGAGAGGGUUCACUUUCAAACAUCAACCAAGUAGCUCAGGAGCUUUWCGAAGACAAYGAAUCUUGUGAAGAAAAGAUAGGGCUUGCGCCCUUCUCUGACGAGAAACUCCAAGCUAUGAUUGACGAAAAUGCAAAAAACAAGAAUUUCAGCAACAUCUGUCAGGCAAACGAUAAAAUCAAAGAAAAAACAGCCUGUACUAWGUACUGUCAAGGAAAGGAAGCGGACGAGGUGGCGGAAUUAGUGGAUGUACCAGUUGAAGCAGCAAAGAUUUUUAUCAAACGCUGUAAAUGUGAAAUAACAGAKGAGAUGAAAAUUGCAAUCUGUGCAGUGAAAGACAUCAUUACCAUCAAAUCACUUUAUCCCAGACUGACAGACGAGCAGAUUCAAGGUGYACUUGCCAAGUGUUGAUGAUGUCAKUGAAGGAACYGAAAACAAAAGCCAUUAGCUUACAGGACUCAUUACCUCAUGGAAAAACAAACCAAGCACAUCAAAUCAAUGCCUAUUUCUACUCAUUGGAAAUAUCUUCCCCAGUGCAAAUGCAUGCAUUCAUGACAAAAAAAAACAAUAAUACAAAAAACCUGAAUAAAAACUUGGAUUGACUUUGAAAA